rnacentral:rRNA from 1 species
UACGAAGGGGGGCUAGCGUUGCUCGGAAUCACUGGGCGUAAAGCGCACGUAGGCGGAUCUUUUAAGUCAGGGGGUGAAAUCCUGGAGCUCAACUCCAGAACUGCCUUUGAUACUGGGGAUCUCGAGUCCGGAAGAGGUGAGUGGAACUGCGAGUGUAGAGGUGAAAUUCGUAGAUAUUCGCAAGAACACCAGUGGCGAAGGCGGCUCACUGGGACGGUAUGGA